UGAGCGGUAAAAGCUCAAAUUUGAAAUCUGGUACUUUCAGUGCCCGAGUUGUAAUUUGUAGAAUUUGUCUUUGAUUAGGUCCUUGUCUAUGUUCCUUGGAACAGGACGUCAUAGAGGGUGAGAAUCCCGUUUGGCGAGGAUACCUUUUCUCUGUAAGACUUUUUCGAAGAGUCGAGUUGUUUGGGAAUGCAGCUCAAAGUGGGUGGUAAAUUCCAUCUAAAGCUAAAUAUUGGCGAGAGACCGAUAGCGAACAAGUACAGUGAUGGAAAGAUGAAAAGAACUUUGAAAAGAGAGUGAAAAAGUACGUGAAAUUGUUGAAAGGGAAGGGCAUUUGAUCAGACAUGGUGUUUUUUGCAUGCACUCGCCUCUCGUGGGCUUGGGCCUCUCAAAAAUUUCACUGGGCCAACAUCAAUUCUGGCAGCAGGAUAAAUCAUUAAGAAUGUAGCUACUUCGGUAGUGUUAUAGCUUUUUGGAAUACUGUUAGCCGGGAUUGAGGACUGCGCUUCGGCAAGGAUGUUGGCAUAAUGGUUAAAUGCCGCCCGUCUGA
rnacentral:rRNA from 1 species